UAAGGUGGUGAGGAGCCUCGGCGCUGGGCUCCGGCCUCGGCGGAGCGAAGGCGGCUUUCGGCACGGCUUUGCACGGCACCACGGCGCGGGGAGGGGGGCGACUGGGGGGGGGCACGAGAAACCAUCUGAAGGGAAAUCGCAAACUGGAGCCCAGCGGGCAGAGGAGCUGUGCCGGCGCUGGGAUGAGAGGUGGCAGGGUCGCAUGGACGUACGUUGCCUGUCUGACCCCCGGCAGAACAGCUCGUUUGGCUUUGCCCUUGCAGAUGAACGUGCCCGGCUGGGUGGAAAGCCUUCCCAGAUGCCGCCGCUCUGAACUUGGCACCAGAAUGCAAAACGGGGUGGAAACCCCCCCCACGCCGGAGCAGCAAAGUGGAGCUGCCCCCCAACCACAGGCCUCAGCCCGCAGCGCGGCCCCGGCAGCAGCCUCCUCUGACGUUUCCUCUCGCCCAGAAUAACCGUCACCCGACGCCGACACCGCGCGGGGAGGCUCGCACGGGCCGCUUGGGAAGAAGAGCAGAGCGAGCGUCGCAACGUGUUCCUGCCUCUUCCCCACGGACCUCGCUGCUCCCUGCGAGGGACACGUCCUCUGAAUGUCUGAAUGCGUCGCUCCCUUCCCGAAACGUGCUCCCUAGAGAUGCUGAGCGAGUUGCCACACGCUCUGCUUCAGAAGGACAAGCAUCGUCUUCUGCAUGUGCGUCUCACUCUUGGCUGCUUUCAGCGGCCCCGUUACCUGCCAGGACCUCCACGGCCCCAGGUCCUGGGCGCACCGUGGGUGCUGCCUGCGCCCCAGCGGGGCCGGGGCGGUCGAAGGGGGCUGCCGAGCUCAGUUCCAGCGGACGCAGCAGAAGAGGCCUCCCCCGCCUGGAGGAACCAAGAUCACUCAGGCAGACACUUCAGGAUCGCUCUUGAAGCCCUGGGUCAUGCCUGCUGACACCGAGCAUCUCUGCCCAUGUCUCACAUCACUCCCAGCACCUCUAGAAAUGCAGCAGAAGAGCUGGGCGCCUGUCUCCGCCUGACACGCGAAGCAGUGUGCUCGGGAGGCCGGGCUCUUUCCCCGCUCAUCGAUCCCAAAUAUUCCUUCUAUCUCUCUUCCCGGCUGGGCGCGAUGCUGUGAGGUCACAGGAUGCAAUCCCAAACAGAUGUUUGACACACAGACGAUCUGGGACACAGCGGGGGACUGGCUGCACGAGGAUAAGGACACCGGAUGAAUUUCUGAUGCCACAAGCUGCUCCAAGGAUUGCGUUCUUGGUGCCUCCUCAGCACUUCCCACCGGCUUCUCACGGGUCAGAGCUGGUCCAUUGCUGAUGGCAAGGUGAGGACCUUUAGUGCCCCGUGUCCUGGAGCCCCGUCCAGCCUCUGAUGGAGAAGAUGCCAUCCAGCUGUUUGCUCUCCAUCUGGAAAUGUUCCAACUGUGCCAACAGCGUGGCCGGACCAGCCUGCUCCUGCUCAGCAAGUCCACGGCAAGGUUUGCUCCUCCUCAAGGGCAAGGUCAUCUUGGGAGAGCCUCACUCAACCAGGGUGAGGAGGCACUCUGGGAACCGAGGGAAGGAGAAGUUCUGAGUGCAGAGGAAAUGUUAGACACGGCCUUUUUUGCCAAAAGAGAAGGGCUUUUCUCCCUCUGGCAGGUAAGUCCUGACACGGGGGCUGAGGAGGAGACGGGAAUUUACACGUCAAGGUCUUCACAUCAAAGCGAUCCUCAGACGGAGGCUCUGCAGCUGUAGAGACAAGCUGUCAGUGGGUGUUUGCAUUCUUUAACAUGCCAAAGGACGUUUUAAAGCAGUUUCUCCUGCACAAAAAAAAAUGAAAAAAAUAAACACCGAUUUCUCCCCAUUUCUUCUCUCUUCCCCUUUCAUCCCUGCGGCAUCUCCCCUGGCAAAUCCUUCACUUGCCUCUCAUUAGAGACCAUUCCUGGACAACCUGCAGCUGCGACAGCGCUUCGUGUUUCCCUGUUUCCCCCCGGGCGUUGGGGGCCGGCGAAGGGUGCGGCGUCACCCGCGCCGGCACGGCCGGACCGAGGGAUGCCUUCGGGCAGAGGCUUUCAAGGGCACGUCGCGCUCGCAACGGCGGCUCUGCCAGCAGCUCUCUCCGGAGCUGGCCGCGCUGCGCUCUUUACUCCUUCUAGAGAUUUUUAAGGCGGCUAAUAGCGCCGUGGGAGCCCCGUCGUAAUUAAAAUUGGCAGGAGCGAGCAGAUAUUAGGUUUAUUCACCACCAGUUUUAAAUCAUUUAACAUAGCAGAAGGCCGUGUUUCUACAAGCAAUAUGUUCUGCUUUGCUCGCGCCGCCAGCCCUAUUGAAAGGUUUUGUGAUGGAUGGGGAUGGCGGCUGCUGGAGGGGAGGACGCGGCUCACGCCGUGGUAAAACCAGUGUAUGCGAGAGUGGAGGGGCGAAACGGGGGCCGGGAACGUGAGUCGGAGCCCGGCCUCAUCCGCAGGAGCUCCCAACCGGGCUCCCGCCAGCUGUGGAGCUCGCCACGGGUUUACAGCCCUCUGGAUGCAGCCCUUGCUUAAAAAUAAACCUUUAAAAUAGAAAAUUUGGAGAAAUGGGCUGGGAACUCCCUUUCCACGGUGGGACAGAGUUUCUCGGGGAUUGCUGAGAAGAGGCACAGCAGAAGUUCAACUUUCACCCCGGCGAUCAUGUUAAAUCCGUUUGGUCGAAGCACAGCGCCUGAAAUUCGCCCUGCAACCCUCUUCAAGGCUUGAAGUUUUCGCCGGGUUUUCCAAGUGCCUCAUCGGCAACUUUGCAAACUGUGCGUUUCCGUGCUCAAAGGGCUGCUUUGCUCUUUAACCGCAACCCCGCAAGGUUACGGGGCGCGUUAUCGGAAGCAAAGGCAGCCUCCCCGGCCUCGCUUUCCAUGUCCCGAAGCGGGCGGCCUCCCGCAGAGGGAAGGGAGAAGAGGCUCUCCGGUACCAGCCAGCUCUUCCCAAGCAUUUGUUCCAGUUCGCGGGAGGAAACCAGCAGGAAAUAAGCAGCGACCAUCGCACUGGGACGACGUUAGCACGAGUCGCGGGCAAACCAGCAGGUUGUGCAUCGAGCCGUCGGCAAACGGGCUCCCCCUUCCCUCCCCGUGCUUCCCAAAAGCAUAACGCAGACCAGAUGGUUUCAGAAGGCUGUCAAAAUGUUUUUUUCUUUGUUUUAGUGUCUGUUUUAAAACACAAACAUUUUAAUAAAAUUGGAAGCAGCUCUAUGGAA